CCUACGGGUGGCAGCAGUGAGGAAUAUUGGUCAAUGGCCGGAAGUCUGAACCAGCCAAGUCGCGUGAAGGAUGAAGGCGCAAAGGGUCGCAGACCUUUUUUAUCUGGGAAUAAAAGGCCGGACUCGUCCUGUUCUGUAGGUACCCUAUGAAAAAGCAUCGGCUAACUCCGUGCCAGCAGCCGCGGUAAUACGGAGGAUGCGAGCGUUAUCCGGAUUUAUUGGGUUUAAAGGGUGCGUAGGGGGAGUGUUAAGCCAGGGGUGAAAGUGUGGGGCUCAACCGUAGAAUUGCAGUUGAAACUGGCAGUCUUGAGUGCGGUGGAGGUGUGCGGAAUGCGUGGUGUAGCGGUGAAAUGCAUAGAUAUCGCGAAGAACCCCGAUUGCGAAGGCAGCGCGCUGUGCUGCAACUGACGCUGAGGCACGAAAGUGUGGGUAUCGAACAGGAUUAGAUACCCCUGUAGUC
rnacentral:rRNA from 1 species